rnacentral:rRNA from 1 species
AGCGAACGCUGGCGGCAUGCUUAACACAUGCAAGUCGCGCGGGUGGUUUCGGCCAUCAGCGGCGGACGGGUGAGUAUCGCGUAGGAAUGUAUCCCGAGGUGGGGGACAACCCUGGGAAACUGGGGCUAAUACCGCAUGUGGCCUGUGGGUCAAAGCCUUAGGGCGCCUUGGGAGCAGCCUGCGUCCGAUUAGGUAGUUGGUGGGGUAAAGGCCUACCAAGCCUGCGAUCGGUAGCUGGUCUGAGAGGACGAUCAGCCACACUGGGACUGAGACACGGCCCAGUCCCCGUGGGGGGGGAGAAGGGGGGAAUAUUGGGAAAGGGGGCGUAGCCGAGCCACGCAGGGCGGGGGGGGUGAAGAGGGGUUUCGGAAUGAAAAGCCCUUGGGGGGGGGAGGAAGAGAGCGGUCCCCAAGAAAAAAGCCCCGGUAAACUGGGG